rnacentral:misc_RNA from 1 species
GAAAUGCGAUAAGUAAUGUGAAUUGCAGAAUUCAGUGAAUCAUCGAAUCUUUGAACGCACCUUGCGCUCCUUGGUAUUCCUUGGAGCAUACCUGUUUGAGUAUCAUGAAAUCUUCAAAGUAAAUCUUUUGUUAACUCAAUUGGUUUCUACUUUGGUAUUGGAGGUCUUUGCAGCUUCACACCUGCUCCUCUUUGUUCAUUAGCUGGAUCUCAGUGUUAUGCUUGGUUCCACUCGGCGUGAUAAGUUAUCUAUCGCUGAGGACACUGUAAAAGGUGGCCAAGGUAAAUGCAGAUGAACCGCUUCUAAUAGUCCAUUGACUUGGACAAUACUUUUAUGAUCUGAUCUCACAUCAGGUAGGACUACCCGCUGAACUUAAGC